rnacentral:tRNA from 1 species
GAGGGUAUAGCUCAGUGGUAGAGUGCAUGCCUAGCAUGCACAACGUCCCGAGUUCAAUCCUUGGUACCUCCG